GGGUUGUGAGGUUAAGCGACUAAGCGUACACGGUGGAUGCCCUGGCAGUCAGAGGCGAUGAAGGACGUGCUAAUCUGCGAUAAGCGUCGGUAAGGUGAUAUGAACCGUUAUAACCGGCGAUUUCCGAAUGGGGAAACCCAGUGUGAUUCGUCACACUAUCAUUAACUGAAUCCAUAGGUUAAUGAGGCGAACCGGGGGAACUGAAACAUCUAAGUACCCCGAGGAAAAGAAAUCAACCGAGAUUCCCCCAGUAGCGGCGAGCGAACGGGGAGCAGCCCAGAGCCUGAAUCAGUGUGUGUGUUAGUGGAAGCGUCUGGAAAGGCGUGCGAUACAGGGUGACAGCCCCGUACACAAAAAUGCACAUACUGUGAGCUCGAUGAGUAGGGCGGGACACGUGGUAUCCUGUCUGAAUAUGGGGGGACCAUCCUCCAAGGCUAAAUACUCCUGACUGACCGAUAGUGAACCAGUACCGUGAGGGAAAGGCGAAAAGAACCCCGGCGAGGGGAGUGAAAAAGAACCUGAAACCGUGUACGUACAAGCAGUGGGAGCACGCUUAGGCGUGUGACUGCGUACCUUUUGUAUAAUGGGUCAGCGACUUAUAUUCUGUAGCAAGGUUAACCGAAUAGGGGAGCCGAAGGGAAACCGAGUCUUAACUGGGCGUUAAGUUGCAGGGUAUAGACCCGAAACCCGGUGAUCUAGCCAUGGGCAGGUUGAAGGUUGGGUAACACUAACUGGAGGACCGAACCGACUAAUGUUGAAAAAUUAGCGGAUGACUUGUGGCUGGGGGUGAAAGGCCAAUCAAACCGGGAGAUAGCUGGUUCUCCCCGAAAGCUAUUUAGGUAGCGCCUCGUGAAUUCAUCUCCGGGGGUAGAGCACUGUUUCGGCAAGGGGGUCAUCCCGACUUACCAACCCGAUGCAAACUGCGAAUACCGGAGAAUGUUAUCACGGGAGACACACGGCGGGUGCUAACGUCCGUCGUGAAGAGGGAAACAACCCAGACCGCCAGCUAAGGUCCCAAAGUCAUGGUUAAGUGGGAAACGAUGUGGGAAGGCCCAGACAGCCAGGAUGUUGGCUUAGAAGCAGCCAUCAUUUAAAGAAAGCGUAAUAGCUCACUGGUCGAGUCGGCCUGCGCGGAAGAUGUAACGGGGCUAAACCAUGCACCGAAGCUGCGGCAGCGACGCUUAUGCGUUGUUGGGUAGGGGAGCGUUCUGUAAGCCUGUGAAGGUGUGCUGUGAGGUAUGCUGGAGGUAUCAGAAGUGCGAAUGCUGACAUAAGUAACGAUAAAGCGGGUGAAAAGCCCGCUCGCCGGAAGACCAAGGGUUCCUGUCCAACGUUAAUCGGGGCAGGGUGAGUCGACCCCUAAGGCGAGGCCGAAAGGCGUAGUCGAUGGGAAACAGGUUAAUAUUCCUGUACUUGGUGUUACUGCGAAGGGGGGACGGAGAAGGCUAUGUUGGCCGGGCGA
rnacentral:rRNA from 1 species